ensembl:lncRNA
AUGGAUUUGAAUCUGCAAGAUGCUCUCCACCAGAAACAGACCAUUAAAAAAACUAAUAUUUUACUGCCAUCAUCUGUGGAUUAUGAGAAUUGUGAUUUCCUGAUUGAUCUGUACUCACAUGCGAAAGACUAUGAGACUCAGACGGGCAGAAGUGUCGAUUCAGCAUUACAGUCAAUUUAUCAGUCAGCUCCUGCAGUCUGGAGAAUAAAGCUCUCAGAGAGAAAGAGCUCCAUCCUCCUAGAAGUGCUGAAACUCCAAACAGAGAAGAAACCAGUAGAGCUGAGAGACUGGACAGAUGAAGAGAGUGAAGUGAAGGGGUUCCUGCAGUGUCUGCCCUACAUCUCUGAAUUAAGAUUUGCUGUACCACACAAUAAAACAACUAGAUCAUGGGACAAAAGAAAGAGAUUAUUUAUACUGGAUCUGUGUCUGCAAGCUGCACUCCAUCAGAAAGAGACAAUAGAAGAAACUGUGAAGAAACUGCUAUCAUCUGUGGAUUAUGAAAAAUCUGAUUUCCUGCUGGAUCUGUACUCACAUGUGAAGGACUAUGACACUCAAACAGGCAGGAGUGUCCUUCCAGCAUUACAGCCAAUUUAUCAGUCAGCUCCUGCAGUCUGGAGCAUAAAGCUCUCAGAGAGAAAGAGCUCCAUCCUCCUAGAAGUGCUGAAACUCCAAACAGAGAAGAAACCAGUAGAGCUGAGAGACUGGACAGAUGAAGAGAGUGAAGUGAAGGGAUUCCUCCAGUGUCUGCCCUACAUCUCACAGCUGAGAAUUGAUGAAUCUGAUUACAGUAUUGAGAGGAAAUCUGCUGCUCAGUUUCUGCUGAAUCUGACUGUUGCAGCUUUGAAGUGUGUUACAACUACAGGAGAGAAUUACAUUGAGCUGUUAGCAUCAGUGUGCAGCUACACAUCAUUUCUCUGUAAUGAUAAUGAAUGGCUUGAUGAUGAGUAUAAGAUUAUGUGUGACGAAGAGCAUUGUAAUUUCCUGCUGGAUCUGUGUUCACAUGUGAAGAACUAUGAGACUCAAACAGACAGGAGUGUCCUUCCAGCAUUACAGCCAAUUUAUCAGUCAGCUCCUGCAGUCUGGAGAAUAAAGCUCUCAGAGAGAAAGAGCUCCAUCCUCCUAGAAGUGCUGAAACUCCAAACAGAGAAGAAACCAGUAGAGCUGAGAGACUGGACAGAUGAAGAGAGUGAAGUGAAGGGAUUCCUGCAGUGUCUGCCCUACAUCUCACAGCUGAGAAUUGAUGAUUCUGAUUUCAGUAUUGACAGGAAAUCUGCUGCUCAGUUUCUGCUGAAUCUGACUGUUGCAGCUUCGAAGUGUGUUACAACUACAGGAGAGAAUUACAUUGAGCUGUUAGCAUCAGUGUGCAGCUACACAUCAUUUCUCUGUUAUGAUGAUGAUGAUGAUGAGUAUAAGAGAGAAAACUGUGAUUUCCUGCUGGAUCUGUGUUCACAUCUGAAGGACUAUGAGACUCAAACAGGCAGGAGUGUCCUUCCAGCAUUACAGCCAAUUUAUCAGUCAGCUCCUGCAGUCUGGAGCAUAAAGCUCUCAGAGAGAAAGAGCUCCAUCCUCCUAGAAGUGCUGUCAGAACACAAACACACUGUAGAAACUCUCUGUAUGACAUUUAAUAUUAACUUAAUUAACUUAAUAAUAACUAAUUCAAUGGCUUAAAUCAUUUUGAAAGAAUGUCUCAAAUAAAUUAUUUAGAUUAUUUGUUAAUUUUUCUUUC